rnacentral:rRNA from 1 species
CCUACGGGAGGCAGCAGUGAGGAAUAUUGGUCAAUGGGCGCGAGCCUGAACCAGCCAAGUCGCGUGAAGGUUGACGGCCCUACGGGUUGUAAACUUCUUUUAUAAAGGAAUAAAGUGAGGCACGUGUGCCUUUUUGUAUGUACUUUAUGAAUAAGGAUCGGCUAACUCCGUGCCAGCAGCCGCGGUACAACGGUGGAUACAGGCGUUAGCCGGAUUUAUUGGGUUUAAAGGGAGCGUAGAUGGGUUGUUAAGUCAGUUGUGAAAGUUUGCGGCUCAACCGUAAAAUUGCAAUUGAUACUGGCAGCCUUGAGUACAGUUGAGGUAGGCGGAAUUCGUGGUGUAGCGGUGAAAUGCUUAGAUAUCACGAAGAACUCCGAUUGCGAAGGCAGCUUACUAAACUGCCACUGACAUUGAUGCUCGAAAGUGUGGGUAUCAAACAGGAUUAGAUACCCUAGUAGUC